CCAGAACUCCGCCUCAGAGUCUCGACCCCGAAUUCUGCUAGAUGAUCCCCGAUUCUAUUCAGACCUGAUCACCGCCUGCCGCUCACUGCCUUCCUGUGUGAAUCUUCACCAGCAUUGGAAACCCUCACCCAAGUAAAGCCCCGGACCCCAAGCCCUGAGCCCUGGCACCUUCUGUUCCCAGCCUCAUUUGCUGUUCUCAAUUAGGGGACCUUCUUGGCCUUAUUACAAUUUCACCACCCUCUCUACCCGUUUCUGAAAAAGUCAGGAUGCCCUCCCAGUCCAGGCCCUGGAAUCCCUAGCCUGGGCCAUCUAUCAUCUACCACACCUCUUCCUGCCUAGUAGUCAGACCUGCCCACAGGUCUGAAGGUCUAACUUCCUGCUCCCUUAAAUCAAAGCUCUUGUGCCCACAUGCUUGUUCCUGUUACUCAGAUUGAGGGCAUAGCCUUAUCAGAGCCUUCCAGUUAAAAAGUGGUCACCCCACCUUUCUGUAGGAAUCUGAAGUCACUCAUCUGGAAUCUUCUAGAGGGCCGUUCCCCAUCCUUCUGGGAUGUGCCAUUGGCUCCUACUGCUGGCCUUUUGUCCCAUCUCCUGAAGCCAUUCCUGAAAUUCCUACCCCCUUGUUAGAACCUGCCAUGGGAGUAUGGAAAAAAAGUUCUAGCACUUA